UGAGCAAUCUGCCCUUCUCAUCGGAAUAAGCGUUGGAAACGACGUCUAAUGCCGAAUACGACCUCCUUUCGCAUGAUCGGAGGUGGAAAGCUCCGGCGGAGAAGGAUGAGCUCGCGGCCUAUCAGCUAGUUGGUGUGGGUAAUGGCCCACAAGGCGACGACGGGUAGCCGGCCUGGAGAGGGUCGACCGGCCACACGUGGGACUGAGACACGGCCCAGACCUCCUACGUGAGG
rnacentral:rRNA from 1 species